AGAGUUUGAUUCUGGCUCAGGAUGAACGCUAGCUACAGGCUUAACACAUGCAAGUCGUGGGGCAGCAUGGGGUUUGCUUGCAAACCCCGAUGGCGACCGGCGCACGGGUGAGUAACGCGUAUCCAACCUUCCCCUUAGUAGGGCAUAGCCCGGCGAAAGUCGGAUUAAUACCCUAUGUUGUUCGAAGCAGACAUCUAAUUUGAACCAAAGAUUUAUCGCUAAGGGAUGGGGAUGCGUCUGAUUAGGUAGUCGGCGGGGUAACGGCCCACCGAGCCUGCGAUCAGUAGGGGUUCUGAGAGGAAGGUCCCCCACAUUGGAACUGAGACACGGUCCAAACUCCUGCGGGAGGCAGCAGUGAGGAAUAUUGGUCAAUGGUCGCGAGACUGAACCAGCCAAGUAGCGUGCCAGGAAGACGGCCCUAUGGGUUGUAAACUGCUUUUAUGCGGGGAUAAAGUGGGCCACGUGUGGCCCUUUGCAGGUACCGCAUGAAUAAGGACCGGCUAAUUCCGUGCCAGCCGCAGC
rnacentral:rRNA from 1 species